rnacentral:rRNA from 1 species
AUGAUGACUCUCGGCAACGGAUAUCUCGGCUCUUGCAUCGACGAAGAACGUAGCGAAAUGCGAUACCUGGUGUGAAUUGCAGAAUCCCGCGAACCAUCGAGUCUUUGAACGCAAGUUGCGCCCGAGGCCACCCGGCCCAGGGCACGCCUGCCUGGGCGUCACGU